CCCUUAGAUGUUCUGGGCCGCACGCGUGCUACACUGAGUGGAUCAGCGGGUCAGGUUGCGCGAAAGUGUUUCCUAAUCUUUAAAUCCGCUCGUGAUGGGGAUUGACGGUUGCAAUUUUCCGUCAUGAACGAGGAAUACCUUGUAAGCGCGGGUCAUCAUCCCGCGCUGAAUACGUCCCUGCCCUUUGUACACACCGCCCGUCGCUCCUACCGAUUGAGUGGUCCGGUGAGGCUUUGGGAUCUGAGCGGAAAGAGCGUUUCGCUGUUUCUGCCGGAAAACUCAGUCGAACCUUAUCAUUUAGAGGAAGGAGAAGUCGUAACA
rnacentral:rRNA from 1 species